AUACAGAGGGUGCGAGCGUUAAUCGGAAUUACUGGGCGUAAAGCGCGCGUAGGCGGCUUAUUAAGUCAGGUGUGAAAUCCCCGGGCUCAACCUGGGAACUGCAUCUGAUACUGGUAAGCUAGAGUUUUGGAGAGGGAAGUAGAAUUUCAGGUGUAGCGGUGAAAUGCAUAGAGAUCUGAAGGAAUACCAGUGGCGAAGGCGACUUCCUGGCCAAAAACUGACGCUGAGGUGCGAAAGCGUGGGUAGCAAACGGGAUUAGAAACCCUAGUAGUCC
rnacentral:rRNA from 1 species